AUAUGAUUAUAUUGAAAUCAGUGCAUUGCAAAUAAUAACUGAGCAGUGUUUACAGUAGCUACGGAGGGUUCGUGUCAAUAAAUCAUAAAAUAAUAAAACAAAAUAUGACUGUGUUUUUAGCCGUUGCGGGUGUGUUUCUUACAAUCAAUAUAGUUUUUCUUAUUAUGUCGCUACUACACACACUCCUUAAAAACGAUGAUAAGGGUGUGCCAAGAGUGUCGUUGGCUCCGUCAGCUUUGUCGUGCGCAGAUACUGAACGACGCCACAGCAACAAUCCCCACGUGAUUAUAUUCGACAAUAUUUCCCGUAUACGCACAAACAGUACAUCUAUACACAACACUCAAAAAGCGUCGAGAUUCUGGCAGAAAUUCAAGUGCAGGAAUAAACAAAACAGUUGAAUAUUUAUAAUGUUUUACUUUUUAUCCCGUGGGAUGGUGGGAACAUUUGUUAUACCUAUGACUUUAUCUAUCGAUCUCUUUUCAAUUUAAUCCAUACUUAAGGUACCUACCUACUCUUCUUUUUACAAAGACAGCAUUUUUCACUUGCCACGAUAGAUACCUAUGUAUAUUUUCAUGCAAGCCUUACGAUAAGAAGUAUAAGCUACUCUUGACCUUUCACAGAAUGUCCCCAAUUUAACCAAUGCAAGUUCGUAUAGAUUUUCCUCUACCAACGAGAAAGACACAAACUGAUACCAUUCCCAAGAAUUAUCUAAUUUACGCCAAUUUAUGAAUUAAUUCCUACAUUGAGACUUACAACCGGGUUUUUUCUAAUCGCUCAAUGUAUAUUUUCAUAAACCUCUGAUCGAUUACAAUCCUAUCAAUGUCUCCAUUGUUUAUCAACGGACUACACUUAUCUCAUUCGAUUAUCAUAGAUGUGUUUAUCAGUUGACGACAUGUCACGAACUUAUCUUCCGGUGGUCAUUUUAGUACUUUGAACAUCGUAGCUAUACGUAUAUAUACACUCUUUCCUAGAGGGAUAGAUAGAGACUACAUAAUUCACCAAGAACCGUCCAUUGUGUUAACUAUGGACAAGGUAUACAAAAAUCUGAUUUCUUAUUAUAUCCACGCCCUACAUGAUAUAAUAAUAAACAUGCAAUGAAUAAAUAAAUACUUAUACUAAAUAUCAGUUUUGUGAGACUAUCAUUAUUUAACGAUUUUGUAAGUAAUAGAUAAGAACUUUCUUUGAACUCCGAAUAAAGAGAAAGAUUCUUGAAUAAAAAUAAUAUUUCUAUUUUUAGCUUGGCUCAUACUGACUAAAAACUUACUUUCAGUAGGCUAUGUAUAUAAGUACAAAGUUGUAAAGAUAAGGAUGCCGCGCAACGCGCUCAACCUAAAGCGAUAAGUAGGUAAAUUGAAUUUCCGCUACUUUUGAUGGUUGCUUCCUAAGCUGAAUAACAAAUCAUCCAAAGGAUAUUUUAUAACCAUUUGAGUACUAUCAAACUAUUUUUACUACUUCGUAUGUACUACUUCUUAAGCGAAGCGUUUUAGCGUUGUGUACCAUAAAGUAUUUCAUAAAAUGACUAUGAUGAAUAGAUAAGACAAUUUUUCCUAAAUUAAUUCCUCUACCAUAGUGAAUUAAAAUCCAUAGUCCCUACGUAGUAACGUUAAUGAUCUUAAUUGCUAUACAUAUUAGGAAACAACUCCUUUUUGAACUUAAUAGUAUCCACGUAGAUAACAGAAACUUUCAUAUAACCAGCUCAACACAUAAGUUGAUCUAGAUCUCUGUUCUUUGAACUUUAUAGGCAAAAAUUGAGAUGAGGUACCAUUAGAGCCCGAAAAUGUAGCGCCUGCGCAAACCACCGCCAUUUUAAUUCCAUUUAGGUAUAUAGGAGCUUAUAGGUGGAUGGAAAGGUACCUAUGUAGGUAUUAUCUACCUAAAAGUACACAUACAUAAUACCUUAGUAUUUAACUAACCGUGCACUUGUUUUUGUUUAGCUCAAGUUGAGUUUCUCCGUUGGUCAAUGCCAUGCUGAUACAAAAGUCACGUAAUUAUUUAGACACACCAUUCGAACAAUGGCGGCGAAUACCAUUACGAGACUUUAUUUUCACAACAAUCUCGACCACUAUAGUAUGCAUAGACAGGUUUAUGUUAAAACACACAGGCUUUUUAAAAUUUUAGGCAUUUAGGCAAAUCAAGGCCUUUUUAAUUAAUGAUCCAUACGGAUUACCUACUGGAUGAUGUCGGAGUUUUACGCAAUAGGUCCUUUCUUAUAAAUCAAUCAAGUUAUUCUAGGUUAUGGUAUUUUAAAAAGUUUUGAUUUAUAUAUCUUAAAAGUACAGUCAACAACUGGUUAUAUUCGUCUCUACAAUAUUUAUCAAAUCGUCAGUAGGUAUUCGUUAUUACACUUAUAUUAACAUUAAAGUACAAAGCAUCGAACACGCCUCAUAGAUAAUUAUUCUAAUUAAGUCCAACGAGCUCCAACUAAAUAAAUAAAAUGGGAGUUCUAUACUUUUAUAAACCAAUACGUUCAAGUGUCGAUAAAAAAAUAAACAGUCAUUUCGUUCGUUGUAAUGGCUCGCAGUUUUGCUUGCGCUGUGACUGCGACAAGUUACCUUCGUGGCUGAGCACUGUUCUGAUGAAGCUUAUUCAUAUUAAGCUCCCUACAUAAUGAGUUACGCGUUUAUUAUUGUGGUGUCGGUUGCGAUUACUCUCAAGUUGAUGUUCCUGAGCUUCUCCAUGUAUUUUACAAUUAAAUACAGACAAAGUCAAGAAUGUUCGGUAACCAACGACAGCAGCAGGAAACAACGGUCUAUGAUGAUAUCAUGGAGACAAAUUCCUCGAAUAUUUUUUCCCCAGACAUUAAAGUAUUGCUCUGAUAACAAUAGAUCUAACAUUUACACUGACAGGCUUUGAUAUGUCCCCAUUUGAUAUCUUGUUUUCCUGGGUACCUACCUAUGUAUGACUUGACAGUACCAAUUACCUCCAAUGCAGGAAUAUUUCUAUAAUGUUGGUAAUGCCGUGUGGUUCUCGGCACCAACAAAAAAAAGAAUAGGACCACUCCAUCUCGUUCCCACGGAUGUUGUAAAA
rnacentral:misc_RNA from 1 species